rnacentral:rRNA from 1 species
AUUGAACGCUGGCGGAAUGCUUUACACAUGCAAGUCGAACGGCAGCACGGACUUCGGUCUGGUGGCGAGUGGCGAACGGGUGAGUAAUGUAUCGGAACGUGCCCAGUCGUGGGGGAUAACGUAGUGAAAAUUACGCUAAUACCGCAUACGAUCUAUGGAUGAAAGCGGGGGAUCGCAAGACCUCGCGCGAUUGGAGCGGCCGAUAUCAGAUUAGGUAGUUGGUGGGGUAAAGGCCCACCAAGCCAACGAUCUGUGGCUGGUCUGAGAGGACGACCAGCCACACUGGAACUGAGACACGGUCCAGACUCCUACGGGAGGCAGCAGUGGGGAAUUUUGGACAAUGGGCGAAAGCCUGAUCCAGCCAUUCCGCGUGCAGGAUGAAAGCCCUCGGGUUGUAAACUGCUUUUGUACAGAACGAAAAGGUUUCUACUAAUACUAGGAGCUCAUGACGGUACUGUAAGAAUAAGCACCGGCUAACUACGUGCCAGCCGCCGCGGUAA